CUUACAGUGCUCCCCAUUUGUUUUCCUUAAAAAAAAUAGUUAACAAGCAAGUUGUUGAGAAGAAAGCUGCCUGGGUGCAGUGAGGCUGGAUGAAAAUAUUCCCAGCUGAUGGUUGGUGUGGUGGGGAACAGCUCUGCAGGUUUGGAGCAGGCAGGAUUCAGGACUCCAGGCUUUAUGGAUGGGAUGCCAUCCCAUUCUUUACCCCGUUAUGAAUGGGAUUUGUUACUCAGCUCCUUCCUUGGGUGAAGGAUGGGAACGUCUCCCAUUUGGGAUCAGUGUUGAAUCAUUCCUGCUGUAACUGAGCCCUUCCUCAUCCAAACCCACCUGGCUGAGUGCUGAGUUUGGUCCAGACCUCCUAAAAUCAGAAACGUAACGUUCCAUCUGUAACUUCAGUACGACCAGGUAGGCUAUUGCAUGUUAGAUGUGAAUAUAUCAGAGCUGUUCACCUGGGAGACCCAAAGCUUUUUCACCCUCGUUGCUUAUCCCUUCCAGCAUCCUCGUGGCAUUGGUGGCACUGCUAAGAAGUAAGAAGGACCCUGUGAAAUUGGAUGACUUCCCUCACUGAGCCAUAACAGCAUUGGAACAAAACCCGGGCGCUUAACUCGUCCCUGUCCUCUCCGCCUUGAAAUGAAGUAUCUCCAAGCCUUCUGCAUCAGGAGGAUCUCUCUCCAAACGGGUGGAUUUUCUCUUACCCCUCCCCAGACAACAAAGAAGCAAACAACAUAACAAGAACACUGCGGACCAGAUAAUGUUAGCAAAUCCCUCUCUGUAACACUGCUGCGGUCCAAACAUGGAGGUGCAGCACCAGACAUCAAGCAGUUCCUGCUGCCCUGGGAGGAGGGAUGUCCCACAUCUCAGCUUUGCUGGCCCCAUCAGAGCUCCAGCGUUCUGGGAAGCACCCUGAAGAUGAGCAUUUGUACCCGGGGUGCAGACGUACCACUGUUUCGGAGGAUGUGGACUUCUGCUGGGAUCCCAUCCCCCCCAGGCCCCGUCACCCGGAUCUGUACGAAGGCAUGAGUGAAGUCCUCAGGCACUGGGAUGUCGAUCCGACUCUUGCUCGCCAGGCCUGUGACGUGAGCCGAUGUGACCAACCCUGCUGUUCUCACUCUGUCAGCUGCCUCCUCUUUAUCGCCAUCCUUCCAGUACCGGAUCUGAAUAGAAAAGGGUUCAGUAAGGAAAGAAGUAUCUGCGAAUUUCCAUUCAAGAACAGUGUUGGACGCCCCUUGGCACUUGGG